rnacentral:rRNA from 1 species
GAUGAACGCUAGCUACAGGCUUAACACAUGCAAGUCGAGGGGAAACGGCAUUGAGUGCUUGCACUCUUUGGACGUCGACCGGCGCACGGGUGAGUAACGCGUAUCCAACCUUCCCAUUACUGUGGGAUAACCUGCCGAAAGGCAGACUAAUACCGCAUAGUCUUCGAUGACGGCAUCAGAUUUGAAGUAAAGAUUUAUCGGUAAUGGAUGGGGAUGCGUCUGAUUAGCUUGUUGGCGGGGUAACGGCCCACCAAGGCUACGAUCAGUAGGGGUUCUGAGAGGAAGGUCCCCCACAUUGGAACUGAGACACGGUCCAAACUCCUACGGGAGGCAGCAGUGAGGAAUAUUGGUCAAUGGACGGAAGUCUGAACCAGCCAAGUAGCGUGCAGGAGGACGGCCCUAUGGGUUGUAAACUGCUUUUGUAUGGGGAUAAAGUUAGGGACGUGUCCCUAUUUGCAGGUACCAUACGAAUAAGGACCGGCUAAUUCCGUG